rnacentral:rRNA from 1 species
GAUGAACGCUGGCGGCGUGCCUAAUACAUGCAAGUCGAGCGAAGCGGGGACGGGUGAGUAACACGUGGAUAACCUCCUAUAAGACUGGGAUAACUUCGGGAAACCGGAGCUAAACCGGCUACUUAUAGAUGGAUCCGCGCUGCAUUAGCUCGUUGGUAAGGUAACGCCUUACCAAGGCAACGAUGCAUCGCCGACCUGAGAGGGUGAUCGGCAACACUGGAAUGGAUGCACGGUCCAGACGCCGACGGUAGGCAGCAGUAGGGAAUAGUCCGCAAUGGGCGGAAGCCUGACGGAGAAACGCCGCGUGAGUGAUGAAGGUCUGCGGAUCGUAAAACUCUGUUAUUAGGGAAGCGGUACCUGAUAAGAAAGCCACGGCUAACUACGUGCCAGCAGCCGCGGUAAUAC